UGGGAACCAACGCGAGUGAGCACUUGUAAAACUGUUUUUGAAGAGUGAAGUUAUGAAGAGGUGCUGCAGUGUCAAACAUCUGUUUCAUCCAUUACACUCAAAUGGCAGCAGCGGCUGUACAGUAGGGCAAGAGCCGCCAAUAAAUUAAAAGCCUCUCGUGGCCACGUUCUCCUCACUCUCUUGAGCUGCCCGGCUCUUGUGCCAGUUUGAAUCAUGGAAGGAAGAUGCUAAAUAAAGGUUGGACAUCAUGUACUGCUUACCAUCGCUGUGCGACAUUCCUGCUGCUGUGGGAACGGAGCUGCACCCCUGCUGCCAUGCUCGUUCAGGUCCAGUGGCAGAGAGAUGCUCAAAAGCAGAAACCACUGAAGAGGAUGAAAAGAAACAGAGUGGUUCUGUGUAAAGUCAGGAUGAGCAGAAGCCCUCUCUGAAGCCCUCCCUGGAUUCCCCAAGCACAUCCACUCCUUCUCCUGUGGUGCUGGUUGGGUUGUUCUGUUAGGCAGCUCGGACUUUAGGCUCAUGAGACACAGCUCCAUCGAGUGAGUGUCACUUCUAAUCAGGUUUCCCAGGUUUCCUGAACAAGGCAGGUUUAUCGCCAACGUGCACUUUUAUCCAGAGAAACGUGGCACUAUGCAAAUGGGGGAAACUGCAAGCAUCAUAGAGGUGGCAAUUCAAGGUUCAGCAAGUCCAAAGCAAGGUCUCAAUGUUUCUCAGGCAGAAAGAUCAGGCCAAAGCAGAGAUGUUUUUUCCUAAAAUUAAAAUAUUGCACCACUGAAUUUUGGGGGAGUUUUACACAUGUAUUUUAUUGCUU
rnacentral:lncRNA from 1 species